rnacentral:rRNA from 1 species
AUUGAACGCUGGCGGCAUGCCUUACACAUGCAAGUCGAACGGCAGCACGGGGCAACCUGGUGGCGAGUGGCGAACGGGUGAGUAAUGCAUCGGAACGUACCUUUCAGUGGGGGAUAACGUAGCGAAAGUUACGCUAAUACCGCAUAUUCUGUGAGCAGGAAAGCAGGGGAUCGCAAGACCUUGCGCUGAUUGAGCGGCCGAUGUCAGAUUAGCUAGUUGGUGAGGUAAAGGCUCACCUAGGCGACGAUCUGUAGCGGGUCUGAGAGGAUGAUCCGCCACACUGGAACUGAGACACGGUCCAGACUCCUACGGGAGGCAGCAGUGGGGAAUUUUGGACAAUGGGGGCAACCCUGAUCCAGCCAUGCCGCGUGAGUGAAGAAGGCCUUCGGGUUGUAAAGCUCUUUCGGCCGGGAAGAAAUCGCACGGGCUAAUACCCUGUGUGGAUGACGGUACCGGCAUAAGAAGCACCGGCUAACUACGUGCCAGCCGCCGCAGAACAC